rnacentral:tRNA from 1 species
GGGGUUAUAGCUUAAUGUAAAGCAACAAGAUCGCACCUUGUUAGUUAUCAGUUCAAGUCUGAUUAACUCCA